AGCGAACGCUGGCGGCAGGCUUAACACAUGCAAGUCGAGCGGGCACUUUCGGGUGUCCGCGGCGGACGGGUGAGUAACGCGUGGGAACGUGCCCUCUGGUUCGGAAUAACUCAGGGAAACUUGAGCUAAUACCGGAUACGCCCUUUUGGGGAAAGGCUUGCUGCCGGAGGAUCGGCCCGCGUCUGAUUAGCUAGUUGGUGAGGUAACGGCUCACCAAGGCGACGAUCAGUAGCUGGUCUGAGAGGAUGAUCAGCCACACUGGGACUGAGACACGGCCCAGACUCCUACGGGAGGCAGCAGUGGGGAAUAUUGGACAAUGGGCGCAAGCCUGAUCCAGCCAUGCCGCGUGAGUGAUGAAGGCCUUAGGGUUGUAAAGCUCUCUUAUCCGGGACGAUAAUGACGGUACCGGAGGAAUAAGCCCCGGCUAACUUCGUG
rnacentral:rRNA from 1 species